rnacentral:rRNA from 1 species
GACGAACGCUGGCGGCGUGCUUAACACAUGCAAGUCGAACGGAAAGGCCCUGCUUUUGUGGGGGGCUCGAGUGGCGAACGGGGGAGUAACACGUGAGUAACCUGCCCUUGACUUUGGGAUAACUUCAGGAAAAUGGGGCUAAUACCGGAUAGGAGCUCCUGCUGCAUGGGGGGGGUUGGAAAGGUUCGGCGGUUGGGGGUGGACUCGCGGCUUAUCAGCUUGUUGGUGGGGUAGUGGCUUACCAAGGCUUUGACGGGUAGCCGGCCUGAGAGGGUGACCGGCCACAUUGGGACUGAGAUACGGCCCAGACUCCUACGGGAGGCAGCAGUGGGGAAUAUUGCACAAUGGGCGGAAGCCUGAUGCAGCAACGCCGCGUGCGGGAUGACGGCCUUCGGGUUGUAAACCGCUUUCGCCUGUGACGAAGCGUGAGUGACGGUAAUGGGUAAAGAAGCACCGGCUAACUACGUG